CUACCAUGCAGUCGACGAUGAACCUCACUUGUGGGGGGAUUAGUGGCGAACGGGUGAGUAACACGUGAGUAACCUGCCCUUGACUCUGGGAUAAGCCUGGGAAACCGGGUCUAAUACUGGAUACGACCUUCCCGCGCAUGCGGUGUUGGUGGAAAGCUUUUGUGGUUUUGGAUGGACUCGCGGCCUAUCAGCUUGUUGGUGGGGUAAUGGCCUACCAAGGCGACGACGGGUAGCCGGCCUGAGAGGGUGACCGGCCACACUGGGACUGAGACACGGCCCAGACUCCUACGGGAGGCAGCAGUGGGGAAUAUUGCACAAUGGGCGCAAGCCUGAUGCAGCGACGCCGCGUGAGGGAUGAAGGCCUUCGGGUUGUAAACCUCUUUCAGUAGGGAAGAAGCUGGUCCUUCGGGGUUGGUGACGGUACCUGCAGAAGAAGCGCCGGCUAACUACGUGCCAGCAGCCGCGGUAAUACGUAGGGCGCAAGCGUUAUCCGGAAUUAUUGGGCGUAAAGAGCUCGUAGGCGGUUUGUCGCGUCUGCCGUGAAAGUCCGGGGCUUAACUCCGGAUCUGCGGUGGGUACGGGCAGACUAGAGUGCAGUAGGGGAGACUGGAAUUCCUGGUGUAGCGGUGAAAUGCGCAGAUAUCAGGAGGAACACCGAUGGCGAAGGCAGGUCUCUGGGCUGUAACUGACGCUGAGGAGCGAAAGCAUGGGGAGCGAACAGGAUUAGAUACCCUGGUAGUCCAUGCCGUAAACGUUGGGCACUAGGUG
rnacentral:rRNA from 1 species